GCCACCAUGAUCCCAGCUGGUGCUGGGCGCGGACUUCAAAUCCGUGGCGGCCGAGAGGCCGAGUGGUUCGAUUCCACCUUGGAGGCG
rnacentral:tRNA from 1 species